AUGUCAGCCUUCGCCAUUACCGCGCUAGUGGCGCCGCUGGUGGGUGGUGCGGCCUGGACGCUGACCACGGUCUAUGGGCCCUCAGAGGAAGACACCAAACCUCUUUUCCUUGCUGACCUGGCUCGGAUUCGUGGGCUUAUUUUCGGACCCUGGCUUAUAAUCAGGAAUUUUAACCUAAUUUAUGAAGCCCGGGACAAGAGCAACUCCAACAUCAAUCUGCGGCUUAUGGCGCGAUUUCGAUCGGCGCUAAAUAACAGCGACCUCAAGGAGAUCAAUUUAUGCGGCAGGCGCUUCACAUGGUCAAACGAGCAAGCCUCGCCCACGCUGGUCCGCCUGGAUCGCGCCUUCUGCACGCCGGAGUGGGAUCUCCAGUUCAGUGCAGCAUGGCUCCAACCCCUCGCCACGGCCAUGUCAGAUCACUGCCCUCUCCUCUUGACAUGUGAGUCCUCCUCGCGGCCUAGUGCGCGGUUCCGUUUCGAAGCCUUCUGGCCGCACGUCUCUGGGUUCAAGGAGGUUGUGGCAGCAGUCUGGAACGCGCCAGGUGUGCAGGGAUGCGCGCUUAUCAGGUUGGACACAAAGCUCAAGCGGGCGGCUAGAGCGCUCCGUCUUUGGCACAAGCACCACAUCGGGAACACUCGCUUGCAGCUGCUGAUGGCGUAG
rnacentral:rRNA from 1 species